GAUGAACGCUGGCGGCGUGCCUAAUACAUGCAAGUCGAGCGAACAGAUGAGGAGCUUGCUCCUCUGACGUUAGCGGCGGACGGGUGAGUAACACGUGGAUAACCUACCUAUAAGACUGGGAUAACUUCGGGAAACCGGAGCUAAUACCGGAUAAUAUAUUGAACCGCAUGGUUCAAUAGUGAAAGACGGUUUUGCUGUCACUUAUAGAUGGAUCCGCGCCGCAUUAGCUUGUUGGUAAGGUAACGGCUUACCAAGGCAACGAUGCGUAGCCGACCUGAGAGGGUGAUCGGCCACACUGGAACUGAGACACGGUCCAGACUCCUACGGGAGGCAGCAGUAGGGAAUCUUCCGCAAUGGGCGAAAGCCUGACGGAGCAACGCCGCGUGAGUGAUGAAGGUCUUCGGAUCGUAAAACUCUGUUAUUAGGGAAGAACAAAUGUGUAAGUAACUAUGCACGUCUUGACGGUACCUAAUCAGAAAGCCACGGCUAACUACGUG
rnacentral:rRNA from 1 species